rnacentral:misc_RNA from 1 species
CGUCUCUGUUUUAGUGUGUAU